UGUGUAUGUGUGUGUGUGUAUGUGUAUAUGUAUGUGUAUAUGUAUACACACACACACACACACACACACACACACACACACAUAU
rnacentral:miRNA from 1 species